CUUCAAGGUGGUGGUGAACUUGAUCUCGGAAAGGGGUGAAUGAAGUGGAGUUCUUCCACUAUAAGAGUUGCGUGCUUGGAAGAAUAAACGUUGAACGACUAAGGCGACCGGAAGGUACACAGGUAGAUGGAUCUGAUCCAUAGGAGUUUCAACAGCGGAAUCUCAGGAGCACUCCACUUACUUCGAAGGUGCAGUCUAUUGAUAUCGGUCUUCAUGGUCACUUUUAAUCGAUGUAGAGGCUUGUAGACAUGUGUAUACAGAUAGACCUUUCAUAACCCUACCAGUUCAUAUUGUUGUAACAUUUUAGUAGCCUUGACGGCUGGUGAUGAUGGGCACAGCUGUUGAAGAUUAUAUAGAGAUGUGCUGUUAUGUUAUGAUAUAUGUCCUUACAGAUUAUGA